rnacentral:tRNA from 1 species
GAAGAGGUAGCUGAGUGAUCGAAAGCGAACGAUUCAAAAUCGUUUGACGGGCAAUCGUCUAACCGUCUGAGGGUUCGAAUCCCAACCUCUCUG